rnacentral:rRNA from 1 species
GGAUCCCAAAUGCACAGGCAUAGCGCCUGUGCUUUUCGGUACCCUAAGGCGGUACCAGAAUAAGGGCUGGGCAAGACCGGUGCCAGCCGCCGCGGUAAUACCGGCAGCCCAAGUGAUGGCCGAUCUUAUUGGGCCUAAAGCGUCCGUAGCUGGCCGCGCAAGUCCAUCGGGAAAUCCACCUGCUCAACAGGUGGGCGCCCGGUAGAAANUGCGUGGCUUGGGACCGGAAGGCGCGACGGGUACGUCCGGGGUAGGAGUGAAAUCCCGUAAUCCUGGACGGACCGCCGAUGGCGAAAGCACGUCGCGAGAACGGAUCCGACAGUGAGGGACGAAAGCCAGGGUCUCGAACCGGAUUAGAUACCCGGGUAGUCCUGGCCGUAAACAAUGUCUGCUAGGUGUGGCUCCCACUACGAGUGGGUGCUGUGCCGUAGGGAAGCCGCUAAGCAGACCGCCUGGGAAGUACGUCCGCAAGGAUGAAACUUAAAGGAAUUGGCGGGGGAGCACUACAACCGGAGGAGCCUGCGGUUUAAUUGGACUCAACGCCGGACAUCUCACCAGCAUCGACUGUGGUAAUGACGA